CAUCUGUGAUGGUUAAUUUUAUGUGUCAACUUGUCUGGGCCACAGAGACCAGAUGUGUGGUCAGACAUUCUAGAUG
ensembl:snoRNA